UAGAUAUUUUGUGGGAGGGCUUGACUCUGAUGUCACUGAUGAAGAUCUCAGGCAGUCCUUUUCUCAGUAUGGCGAGGUUGUCUCUGUAAAAAUACCUGCUGGAAAGGGAUGUGGCUUUGUACAAUUGGCUAACAGAAGCAACGCUGAGGAUGCAAUGCAGGGGCUGAAUGGGGCAGUUAUUGGCAAGCAGACGGUUCGCCUUUCUUGGGGUCGAAGUCCAGGGAAUAGGCAGUUGAGAACGGACUCCAAAAAUCAGGUGAACGGAGCUUAUUACGGAAGGCAAGGUUAUGGGGUUAUGGAUAUGCCGUGCCUCAGAAUCAGGAUCCAAGCAUGUAUGCUGCAUGCUGGGGCUUAGAGGCUGCUUCAAAUGGAAAUGGCAAUCACCAAUAGCCAGUCAGCUGAAGUUACUUGUUUGUUUAAUUUAAAUCACUGAAAGACAUGAUGAAAACUAGAUGGAUUUGGUUGUUUCUUUGUUGGAUAUUUUAGCCGGAUUUAAUUCGUCCCCAAUAUUUUUAUUAAAUAGAAUUUAUUU